rnacentral:rRNA from 1 species
CAAAGGUAGCGUAAUCACUUGUUUUAUAAAUAAAGACCAGUAUGAAUGGCUAAAUGAAUAUUUAACUGUCUCCUUUAGCCAAUCAGUGAAACUGAUUUUUCAGUACAAAAGCUGAAAUAAAAACAUAAGACGAGAAGACCCUGUGGAGCUUAAAAUUUCUAUCAAGCAUUUACACAAAACAUGCCUGUGAAAAAAACUUUUAAGUUGGGGCGACUUUGGAGCAAAGCACAACCUCCAAGAAAAGGUAUUACCUAAACAAGGCACACAAGCCAAAACCACAUGACCCAGUAUUACUGAUCAACGAACCAAGUUACCCCAGGGAUAACAGCGCUAUCUUCUUCAAGAGUUCAUAUCGACAAGAAGGUUUACGACCUCGAUGUUGGAUCAGGACACCCAAAUGGUGCAGCCGCUAUUAAAGGUUCGUUUGUUCAACGAUUAAUAGU